UCCCUCCGGCCUCCCGCGCUGAAGCCGGUGCGACUCAGGCGCUGUCACAGCCUGGGAAGCGGCUGUGCUAGGUGGGAGCGGUGUUGGCCAGCGGUGCGCGCGUCCUUCUGGCGAGAUUCCUGAUCAAGGAGAGGGGCCAGGACAGCUGGUAUCCUGGGCAGCAAUGAAGACGUAGCCGCGCCGACCUUUGCUUAUAGUGCCAGGUCACCCCGUGUCUGAAGGCUAUGAUGGGAAUGCGAGCCAGAACUUGGAGGCUCUGUGUAACCCACUGCUUCUGCCUGGAAGAUCCUUCUGUAGGAGAGCUGUCUCCGGUGGCGGUGGACUUCAAGGGGCCAAUGGAUGAGCGCAGUGCAGGGCGCCCCAGACGCACGCUUCUUGUGGUCUAGUCCCCCAGAAGCCCUUCCGCGGGGCCUGGGCUCUGGGAUGAGGCACCUGCUGGACACAUGGCCUUGCCCUGAGUGACGAUGGUCCGCCGCGGCCUGCUGGGGUGGAUUUCCCGGGUGGUGGUCCUGCUCGUGCUGCUGUGCUGCGCCAUCUCCGUCCUCUACAUGCUGGCCUGCACCCCCAAAGGCGAUGAGGAGAAGCUGGGGCUACCCAGGGCCAACGGCCCCACGGGGAAAGAGGGCUACCAGGCCGCGCUGCAGGAGCGUGAGGAACAGCACCGCAACUAUGUCAGCAGCCUCAAGCGGCAGAUCGCUCAGCUCAAGGAGGAGCUGCAGGGGCGCAGCGAGCAGCUGCAAGGUGUGCAGGAGCAGGCCAGCGUGGCGGCAGGCCUUGGACCCGCGGCCAAAGCCCAGGCACAGGCGGACCUGCGGGCCUUCCUGCGCGCACAGGUGGACAAGGCCGAGGUGCAUGCGGGGAUCAAGCUGGCCACUGAGUACGCAGCGGUGCCCUUCGACAGCUUCACCCUGCAGAAAGUGUACCAGCUGGAGACCGGCCUGACUCGCCACCCCGAGGAGAAGCCCGUGAGGAAAGACAAGCGCGACGAGCUGGUGGAAGCCAUUGAGUCGGCCUUGGAGAGCCUGAACAGCCCCUCGGAGAGCGGCCCGAACCAGCGUCCGUACACAGCCUCGGACUUCAUAGAAGGGAUCUAUCGAACAGAAAAAGAUAAAGGCACUUUGUAUGAGCUCACCUUCAAAGGGGACCACAAACACGAAUUCAAACGACUUGUCUUGUUUCGACCAUUUGGCCCAAUCAUGAAAGUGAAAAAGGAAAAGCUCAACAUGGCCAACACACUUAUUAACGUUAUCGUGCCCUUAGCCAAAAGGGCGGACAAGUUCCGGCAGUUCAUGCAGAAUUUCAGGGAAAUGUGCAUCCAACAAGAUGGGAGAAUUCAUCUCACUGUUGUUUACUUCGGGAAAGAAGAAAUGAAUGAAGUCAAAGGAAUACUUGAAAACACUUCCAAAGCUGCCAACUUCAGGAACUUCACCUUCAUCCAACUGAGUGGAGAGUUUUCCCGGGGAAAGGGACUCGAUGUUGGGGCCCGGUUCUGGAAAGGCAGCAACGUCCUCCUCUUCUUCUGUGACGUGGACAUUUACUUCACCUCAGAGUUCCUCAACACGUGCAGGCUGAACGCGCAGCCAGGGAAGAAGGUGUUUUAUCCAGUCCUCUUUAGUCAGUACAACCCUGGUAUAAUCUACGGCCAUCAUGAUGCCAUCCCACCUCUAGAACAGCAGCUGGUCAUAAAGAAGGAAACUGGAUUUUGGAGAGACUUUGGAUUUGGGAUGACCUGUCAGUAUCGCUCAGACUUCAUCAACAUAGGUGGAUUUGAUUUGGAUAUCAAAGGCUGGGGUGGAGAGGACGUGCACCUGUAUCGCAAGUAUCUCCAUAGCAACCUCAUAGUGGUGCGGACGCCCGUUCGGGGACUCUUCCACCUCUGGCAUGAGAAGCGCUGUGUGGACGAGCUGACCCCUGAGCAGUACAAGAUGUGCAUGCAGUCCAAGGCCAUGAACGAGGCAUCCCAUGGGCAACUUGGGAUGCUGGUCUUCCGGCACGAGAUAGAGGCUCACCUGCGCAAACAGAAACAGAAGACCAGCAGCAAGAAAACAUGAACUUCUAGGGGCUGGAUUCAGAGAGACACUUUUUUUCCUUUUGCAAUUACCAAAAAAUGGCUGCAACAAGGAAAAGACCGCCAUAAAGGGCGCAAAGAGAAUCUGACUGAUUAGUAAGAGAUGAGAGGAGAGAGCCUUCCAUUUUUCUCCAUUUUUAUGCAAGAGGAAUUAAAAUCUCCACUGUGCCUGCAAACACAGCCCAAAUGCACCCGAGAAGUGUCUGACAAAGGCAGAAUGAUUGGGAGAUGAUAAGCCUGGUGGUGUGGAGGUUUUGAUUGUGUUUACAACAAAAUGAGAUCUCUUGUUUCCUAUGCUUAUUGAAAUAUUCAUGAAUUAAGACUAGUUUUGUAAAGAGUUCAUUAGCAUGAAAGGCAGCACAUUUCUCCUCAUAUGAAUGACUCCUCUAUCAGUGAGGCUUCAAUGGUAGGAAUGUUGAAGUCUCGGAAGGCAGCAGAGGAAACCAAGUCAAAUGUGGUGAUCCACUCUCAUAAGCCUCAUGAAGACCAUAGGCAGUCAGAUGGACCAGAUGGAGCAGUAACCAUAAAUACUGUGUCAUUUUUCCCCACGAUUAACCAAAAAUCAUCUGCUUAUCUUUCGAGUCAUCUUUUUAACCAUCUCCAUUUGUUUAUUUAAAAAUGCACUUUUUUUUUGCUUGUGACUGCUUAUUUAAUUAUCAAUUUGCAAGCCUUACUAAGAGAGCACAAGUUAGCAUAUAUAUGUUUAUGUUUUUUAAGAAGAUAUUUUUAGAUGCCUCGUGAGAACUUUCAGUUCAGAAUAUCAGAUUGGAAGUACAUUCCAGGACUGGCCAAAUGUGCAUACUGCGCAGCCCUGAAGGCCUUGAGACCAAGGGGAAGCCCGGCUGGGCCACUGAGAAAGAGGUGUGUAGAUAUUUUAUCUGAAGAUAAAAUGGGCAGGAAGAGGAACAGCUGAACACUGGAGGAAAAGGCGAAGACACUUUCACAUUACCGGAAAGGAAAUGCAUUCAGACUGACAAUAACUUGAUAUAUUUAAAAGUCACUUUCUUACCCGUUGAAAUAAACCAAAGUUAUGAACCAAACAAUCUCUUUUCAAAGCAGGGUGCUUUUCCUGGCUUCUGGCUUCCAUUAGAAGAAAAGCAGGAGAAAAAAACUCAAUCUACUUUCCAGAGUCCAGUGAGAUGGAAGCUUUUGCUACAUGUUCACUCACCCCGGGCUAGGUGGAAAUAACUCAAUUAUUUUUAAAAUUAAGCAGUUCUACUCAGUCAUCAAGAGGCUUCUGAAUAUUGCAUUUUAUUACAGUUUCAAAGUGUUUUUUUAAAAAUAAGUACAGUCAACAUUGAGUGGUUUCUACAUCCAUGUGAGGAUUAUUUAUUUAUUAGCCAGCACCAGACGCAUGAGCUAAUUAUCUCUGAUUCCUUUCCUUCUGUUUGCCUACAGUAAACUCAUUGUUUAAAAGCUUCAAGAGCAUUCAAACUGUUGGUAUAAGAAAAGGCAUUGUAUUGAUUUGUACUGGUACUUCAUAAAACUUAAUUAAAACACAAGACAUAUAUGGAAGGUGGUAUUGCAGAGCUAAUAAAAUAUGAUUUGUGGAUUUGAUUUCUUCUUGGAAUAAUAACGCUAUGUCUUCAGUUUUUGGAAAGCAUUUUUAUGAGCAGAUCAGAACUUCUCAAGCUUAUCCAGGUAAAGCAGCCUUAUGGAAGGACAGAGGCUCUUGGAAAAUACAGUCGAGUGAUCUGUCUCCAUGCUCUGCCUGAGGCAUAAGUAAAAGAAAAAGCCCGACUGAUGCAUAAAUAGGAUGCUGAAAGUUAAACUCACACAGCAAAGGAGAGCAGUAAUGAAGUUGGUUUGAAGGACCUGGCACAUUGUGUCUUGCACAGGAAGGAUGCUGCCAGGACACGCUGAGGAUUGGACAGGGUGAAGCCCUUUUCCUACUCUGCACACCCAUGCUCUAUCUCUCUCCCAUCAGCUUCCUGUUAACCAGGUUGAAGUAAGGACAUUUUUGAAGUAAGGAAUAUAGCCAAGAAACAUGUUCAUAACACCAAGCUUACAAGGUAAGUACUAUCAUUACUUCCAUUUUUCAGGUGCAGAAAAUUGAAGCUUGGAAAUGUUAAAAGAUUUGUAAGGAGGCUCAACCAGAAUCAAGUGAGCACUGUGUGGUGUGAUCUUUCUAUCCCUUGGCCAUGUCCAGGUGGAGAAAAGAGCUCUGGCCUUGGAGAGUCCAGAGUCUGCUCUCUUUGUGCUUUGGUCUCCUACCAUUUUUCUGCCCCUAUAUCUCCAGCCCCACCUGAGACAGCCAAGGAAGGCAUGAGAAUGUGUUAACACAGUGAUCCAGGAACAGCUCUCAUGCAGAAUUCCAAGAUAUGACAUUUAAAAACCAUAUUGAGUAGGAGGGAAGAGCAGGUGGGACUACGUGUGUGUGUGUGUGUGUGUGUGUGCGUGUUUUAAAAGAGAACCUGAUACUGUUUCUGAGAGCUGCUUCUCAGUGGGAUGGGUGUGUUUUUCUCACAACACACAUCAGCUACUUGGCAGCUUUGAGUGAUCCAUAUUCUGAUUAACUUUAUAUUUUAAUUCAAAGCUAUUUCUCCCAGCAGGCCCAGGGCUUUGCUGUUGCUGCCAAAAAUUGUGGGGACUGUGCCAGUUGGUUAGGGGGUUUGGGCGGUGGUUUUUUCCAACACACAGAAUAUGUUCUUUCCUGUCAGCAGAGGUGCCUUUCAGAAGUUCUCUGCAUUGCUGAGGCUCCAAACAACAUGCUCUGUGGAGUAGCAGCCCUGGGUCCCCUGGGCUGCAUCUGGCUUUUUGGCAGCUCUAAUAAGAGUGGACCAGAGACUGGAGAGCAAGACUGGAGCCAACUCACACAUCUUGGCAAGGCCUAGCACUACUGGUGACAUGAAUGGACAAGCUAACUUCCCUGUGGAAAUUCGUACAGCAGAAUUGGACAGGAUAUAAGAACCAGGGGCCCUGCAGAUGGCAUGAUUGGGAGAGAAGCUCUGGUGAUACAGAAGCAGUGACCAGAAAACCUGAGAUAACUGAACGAGGGAGAGUCCAGAGUCUUAUUGAGGGACAGAAGAAUCAACUCGGAAAAAGAGUAGCAUUUGGGUACAGACCCAAAGUCUCUGAAAUCUGCAGUGAGUAAUACAACUUAAGACUGCAGAGUUGGACGAAAAGAAAAAAGACCACCCAGUUAAAAAUGUCUUCUUUCAGAAGCAAAAGCAGUUUCCGAGAGGUAAAGAAACUUGUCCAAAAUUAUACAGAAAAUAGUGGGAAGUGAUGGAAACAGAAGGGAGUUUCUGUAUAAUAGUGGAAUGGCAGAAACGAAAGCUAAGAGUUCUUACAAAAAUCUAACAAUAGAAACCAUGCAAAACAUUUCAAGAAACAAGUUAACCAUGA